GACGAACGCUGGCGGCGCGCCUAACACAUGCAAGUCGAACGGAGCUGAGAGAAGCUUGCUUUUCUUAGCUUAGUGGCGAACGGGUGAGUAACGCGUGAGUAACCUGCCCUGGAGUGGGGGACAACAGUUGGAAACGACUGCUAAUACCGCAUAAGCCCACGAUCCGGCAUCGGAUUGAGGGAAAAGGAUUUAUUCGCUUCAGGAUGGACUCGCGUCCAAUUAGCUAGUUGGUGAGGUAACGGCCCACCAAGGCGACGAUUGGUAGCCGGACUGAGAGGAUGAACGGCCACAUUGGGACUGAGACACGGCCCAGACUCCUACGGGAGGCAGCAGUGGGGGAUAUUGCACAAUGGGGGAAACCCUGAUGCAGCGACGCCGCGUGGAGGAAGAAGGUUUUCGGAUUGUAAACUCCUGUCGUUAGGGACGAUAAUGACGGUACCUAACAAGAAAGCACCGGCUAACUACGUG
rnacentral:rRNA from 1 species